rnacentral:lncRNA from 1 species
UUUUUUUGUUUUUGUCUUUUUGCUAUUUCUUGGGCUGCUCCCCCGGCAUAUGGAGGUUCCCAGGCUAGGGGUCCAAUAGGAGAUAUAGCCACUGGCCUACGCCAGAGCCACAGCAACGUGGGAUCCAAGCCGCGUCUGCAACCUACACCACAGCUCACGGCAACGCCGGAUCCUUAACCCACUGAGCAAGGGUAGGGACCGAACCCGCAACCUCACGGUUCCUAGUUGGAUUCGUUAACCACUGCGCCACGACGGGAACUCCGGAAUCAUCUGGUUUAUUAAGCCUACAGAUCCCCAGAUCUCACCCACAGAUUUUUUAAGCAGCAUAUCUAGGUUGGGACACUAGAAUUUGCAUUUUUUGCAUGUGUCCCAGGAGAUUAUGAUGCUGGAAGCCUGUAGACUACACUAUACAACUAACAUUACAGAAAGCUAUGUAUUUGGCGUUCUGUGUUACCGAAUUUUUAAAGGAACAGAUUCAAAAAGUUAAACUGCCUAAGCUGACACCUUACCAAUAUAUUUGACCAGGAAUCUAGAACCCAGGCCUGACUACAAGGUUAAUUCAAGCUAUGCCUCUGGAAUUUUUUAGAGACCUAAUAUUCUUAAAGUGGGCCAUAAAGCCUGAACUAACAUUAGGUAUUUACAAACUCUGAAAAUGGUUUUAUUUUAGACAAAUUUUCUUUACCUUCUUCCAUGGGGUCCCACAAUUAAUUGUAAAUCAUGGUACAUAUAUCACAUAUAGGAGUUUCUGUUGUGGUUCAGUGGGUUAGGAACCCUACAUAGUACCUAUGAAGAUACAGGUUCAAUCCCUGGUCUUGCUCAAUGGCUUAAGAAUCCAGUGCUACUGUGGCUGUGGUAUAGGCCAGCAGCUGCAGCUCUGAUUCAACCCCUAGCCUGUGAACUUCCAUAGGCUGUGGAUACAGCUGCAAAGAAAAAAUCACAUAUAGGUUACACACAAAAUAUUUAUACAGUAUAUAAAGUACCAUUUACUAAACUAGGUAUGUAGCAAACAGUUAAAAACUGAUGGGUCAUUAACUUAGAACAUCAAAGCACAGUCAUACUUUGCAUAAUUUAAGUGUGAUUUCAACCCAGGCUGACUGGCUUGGAGACCAUCCUCUAAACUCUACACUAUACCACCUUUCGAGUGUUUUAUUAAGUUUCAAAUUACUUCCUUAAUUCUCAGGAAAACUGAAUAAAGCUGUCAAAUAUUAUUUUCUAUAGAAUUCAAAAUCUCAAACUGAUGGUUAUGCCAAAGGUCACAUUAAGUGUUGCGGUUCAGACCCAGGUCUGUUGCUAAAGCCCAUGCUCUCAACAACUAAACAAAUGCUCAGUGUCCUACAGAGAUGAUCCUAUGUGGAUUUAACUAUCAUAAUGCACAAUAUAAACAAAUACAAUAUGACAGAUAGGCUGUAGGUCUACUCUGACCUCAACUAGCACAAAAAUAUUUUAACAGCAUGUUCCUGCUAGCGCUCUUGGGAGAAUUACCUUUCUGUUAUCUGAAUUGCUAAAUGUAUUUUAAGUGAACUCUACACAGUAUCAAGAUAUAUUCUAGAAAUCUAGGGUUGUUUCAAGCUACAAUGGGUCACACACAACUUCUGAGUUUCUACUUAGAUUACUGAAAAGCAGAAUGGUCUCAGGUACACAAAUGACCAGACUAUAUGAAGUUUGUAUCUUUACCAGAUCAUUCAGCAGGUAUUAAUAAUUAACAAUUAAAUGAGUAACUACCUUAAAUAAUUAACUCAGCAGUAAACAAGGGUGUCAAAUAACUUUCUGAAUUGGGUAUAACUUUGGUCCAUGACAAUAAACAAUUACUUCUGUUAACACUGUUCUUUCUUUCCUUCUAAGUGGUCAAAGUGGGAGAUUGUGGGAUAGUCUUUUAUUUGCUAGAAAUAGGUUGUCAGCCUAGACAAGUGUCGGCCUAAAUUGGGGCAUCAGGCUGAAUGUACACAGCCUUGCACUAUAUACUGCAAUCCAAGAUGUAACUUAGAGCAGAGGACAAUUCACUGGUAGCCACAAGUGUGUCUUUUCUUGAAAAUUACUCAGGUUAUUCCUUCUGGUGCAUGACUCAUGAAAAGCAACGAAAUCACAUUUGGACAUACUAAAUUACUGUGCCAAGAUUCAACUUCCUUUGAUAUAUUUUUUGAUUAUACCAAAUCUCAUCUGCCUUAGAUUCUUUCUUUUGCUGACAUCUUUCCAUUUAUCCUGCCAAUUAAACUCCCAAAGGGAAAGAGCAGAUCAUUUACAUUACUGGAAUGCA